rfam:Ovis aries breed Texel chromosome 17, whole genome shotgun sequence.
UCUUGCUUCAACAGUGUUUGGACAGA